rnacentral:rRNA from 1 species
GACGAAUGCUGGCGGCGUGCUUAACACAUGCAAGUCGAGCGAUGAAGCUUCCUUCGGGAAGUGGAUUAGCGGCGGACGGGUGAGUAACACGUGGGUAACCUGCCUCAAAGUGGGGGAUAGCCUUCCGAAAGGAAGAUUAAUACCGCAUAAUAUAAGAGAAUCGCAUGAUUUUUUUAUCAAAGAUUUAUUGCUUUGAGAUGGACCCGCGGCGCAUUAGCUAGUUGGUAAGGUAACGGCUUACCAAGGCAACGAUGCGUAGCCGACCUGAGAGGGUGAGUCGGACCGACAUUGGAACUGAGACACGGUCCAGACUCCUACGGGAGGCAGCAGUGGGGAAUAUUGCGCAAUGGGGGAAACCCUGACGCAGCAACGCCGCGUGGGUGAUGAAGGUCUUCGGAUUGUAAAGCCCUGUUUUCUGGGACGAUAAUGACGGUACCAGAGGAGGAAGCCACGGCUAACUACGUGC